GAUGAACGCUAGCGGCAGGCCUAACACAUGCAAGUCGAGGGGUAGAAGCUUUCGGGCUUUGAGACCGGCGCACGGGUGCGUAACGCGUAUGCAAUCUGCCUUGUACUGAGGGAUAGCCCAGAGAAAUUUGGAUUAACACCUCAUAGUAUUUUUGCCUGGCAUCAGGUGAUUAUUAAAGGGUACGGUACAAGAUGAGCAUGCGUCCCAUUAGCUAGUUGGUAUGGUAACGGCAUACCAAGGCUACGAUGGGUAGGGGUCCUGAGAGGGAGAUCCCCCACACUGGUACUGAGACACGGACCAGACUCCUACGGGAGGCAGCAGUGAGGAAUAUUGGUCAAUGGGCGCAAGCCUGAACCAGCCAUGCCGCGUGCAGGAUGAAGCAUCUAUGGUGUGUAAACUGCUUUUGUACGGGAAGAAACACUGCUACGUGUAGCAGCUUGACGGUACCGUAAGAAUAAGGAUCGGCUAACUCCGUGCCAGCCGCCGCCGUAAGAC
rnacentral:rRNA from 1 species